ACAAGCGGUGGAUGAUGUGGAUUAAUUCGAUGCAACGCGAAGAACCUUACCUACCCUUGACAUGUACGGAAUCCUUUAGAGAUAGAGGAGUGCUCGAAAGAGAACCUGCACACAGGUGCUGCAUGGCUGUCGUCAGCUCGUGUCGUGAGAUGUUGGGUUAAGUCCCGCAACGAGCGCAACCCUUGCCAUUAGUUGCUACGAAAGGGCACUCUAAUGGGACUGCCGGUGACAAACCGGAGGAAGGUGGGGAUGACGUCAAGUCCUCAUGGCCCUUAUAGGUGGGGCUACACACGUCAUACAAUGGCCGGUACAGAGGGUAGCCAACCCGCGAGGGGGAGCCAAUCCCACAAAGCCGGUCGUAGUCCGGAUCGCAGUCUGCAACUCGACUGCGUGAAGUCGGAAUCGCUAGUAAUCGCGGAUCAGCAUGUCGCGGUGAAUACGUUCCCGGGUCUU
rnacentral:rRNA from 1 species